CUCGUAUAAAAUGACCCGCAUGCUCAGCUCUCGUUCUUUCACCUCAACGCUUGGUCGGAUGUUUGGUUGUGUGGCUUUCGUGGUGGAAUCUGCUUUUAUCAAUUGACAGAACAAGGAAUGGGGCUGAGCACAUGGUAUGUCCGUCUGUAGGACAUUUUCGAGGUCUUGAUUCUGGUGAUUGGUUUGUAUUCGUUGAAAAUGUCAUUUUGUGUUAGAAAUUGAAUCUUGCCAUAACUGUGCACAGUAAAAUCGCCAGUGUUAAAGUCAAAUUAACACUCGGUGUAUAUAUAAUCCACACUCUCAAAGUGUGGAUUAUAUAAACACUGUGAGAGUUAAUUUGACCCUUUUUAACACUGGCGAUUUUGCUGUGUGUGUGUUCAGUUUUGUCUUAUGUAACGUUUCGUCAAUAAAGUGUUUUCUAAAGUCUGGCUUGCAAGUUCAACUCCUUUUUUUCGUAGUGUAUAAUUGUUUGAUUCUAUAUGCACUUGAAUUCAUUGACUGAUAAAUUUAGAAAAAUUCAAAACUCUGUCUGUAAUUGCAGUGAAGUCCUCCAUUCUUGGCAUGCUCGUGGUUGUUUUGUACUCUUGUUUGUAUGUAUGGAGGAAUAUUAGUUCCAGUGUAAUGUCUUCGGUGCCAGUAUGUUCCCGUCAACUGGUUCUAUCCUCAAUCACUGGGACACAUUUAAACUGUUCUUGAUGUCAAUGCGAAUAAACUUUAAU